UAUACUCCGCCGGUGUGAACGGGCUGUCUUGAUGUGGCAGAAAACGGGACACAAAUCCCGGGUAUAA
rnacentral:tRNA from 1 species